rnacentral:rRNA from 1 species
GAAACGACUGCUAAGACUGGAUAGGAGACAAGAAGGCAUCUUUUUGUUUUUAAAAGACCUAGCAAUAGGUAUGCUUAGGGAGGAGCUUGCGUCACAUUAGUUAGUUGGUGGGGUAAAGGCUUACCAAGACUAUGAUGUGUAGCCGGGCUGAGAGGUUGAACGGCCACAUUGGGACUGAGACACGGCCCAAACUCCUACGGGAGGCAGCAGUAGGGAAUUUUCGGCAAUGGAGGAAACUCUGACCGAGCAACGCCGCGUGAACGAUGAAGUAUUUCGGUACGUAAAGUUCUUUUAUUAGGGAAGAAUAAAUGAUGGAAAAAUCAUUCUGACGGUACCUAAUGAAUAAGCCCCGGCUAACUAUGUGCCAGCAGCCGCGGUAAUACAUAGGGGGCAAGCGUUAUCCGGAAUUAUUGGGCGUAAAGGGUGCGUAGGCGGUUAAAUAAGUUUAUGGUCUAAGUGCAAUGCUUAACGUUGUGAUGCUAUAAAAACUGUUUAGCUAGAGUAAGAUAGAGGCAAGUGGAAUUCCAUGUGUAGUGGUAAAAUGCGUAAAUAUAUGGAGGAACACCAGUAGCGAAGGCGGCUUGCUGGGUCUUUACUGACGCUGAGGCACGAAAGCGUGGGGAGCAAACAGGAUUAGAUACCCUGGUAGUCCACGCCGUAAACGAUGAGUACUAAAUGUUGGGUAAAACCAGUGUUGAAGUUAACACAUUAAGUACUCCGCCUGAGUAGUACGUACGCAAGUAUGAAACUUAAAGGAAUUGACGGGACUCCGCACAAGCGGUGGAUCAUGUUGUUUAAUUCGAAGGUACCCGAAAAACCUCACCAGGUCUUGACAUGCUUCUGCAAAGCUGUAGAAACACAGUGGAGGUUAUCAGUUGCACAGGUGGUGCAUGGUUGUCGUCAGCUCGUGUCGUGAGAUGUUGGGUUAAGUCCCGCAACGAGCGCAACCCUUAUUGUUAGUUGCCAGCACGUAAUGGUGGGGACUUUAGCAAGACUGCCAGUGAUAAAUUGGAGGAAGGUGGGGACGACGUCAAAUCAUCAUGCCCCUUAUGACCUGGGCUACAAACGUGAUACAAUGGCUGUUACAAAGGGUAGCUGAAACGCAAGUUUUUGGCGAAUCUCAAAAAAACAGUCUCAGUUCGGAUUGAAGUCUGCAACUCGACUUCAUGAAGUUGGAAUCGCUAGUAAUCGCGAAUCAGCAUGUCGCGGUGAAUACGUUCUCGGGGUUUGUACACACCGCCCGUCA